CGGCGGCGGCACGACCCCCUGCGCCUCCGAGGCAGACGAGCCCAUCGGGAGAAGGCGAGGCAGGGAAGUGCCUGAACCAACGGGAUAGGAUUCAAAACUAGGUGACAAACUCAUGAGAAAUCCAACCUGGCUGAAUGUCUGAGAGGCUGCUACUGUAUCAACAUCACAAGAUAAAGCACUCUGGUAUCACCUGCCCAUAUCCUCCUUAGUGUCACCCAAGACAUUUGACUCUGAUGU
rnacentral:lncRNA from 1 species